GCAUAUCAAUAAGCGGAGGAAAAAGAAACUAACAAGGAUUCCCCUAGUAACUGCGAGUGAAGCGGGAAAAGCUCAAAUUUAAAAUCUGGCAGUCGUUGGCUGUCCGAGUUGUAUUCUGGAGAAGCGUUUUCCGCGCUGGACCGUGUACAAGUCUCUUGGAAUAGAGCGUCGUAGAGGGUGAGAAUCCCGUCUUUGACACGGACUACCAGUGCUUUGUGAUGCGCUCUCAAAGAGUCGAGUUGUUUGGGAAUGCAGCUCAAAAUGGGUGGUGAAUUCCAUCUAAAGCUAAAUAUUGGCGAGAGACCGAUAGCGAACAAGUACCGUGAGGGAAAGAUGAAAAGCACUUUGGAAAGAGAGUUAAACAGUACGUGAAAUUGCUGAAAGGGAAACGCUUGAAGUCAGUCGCGUCAUUCAGAACUCAGCCUGGCUUUUGCCUGGUGUAUUUUCUGGUUGACGGGCCAGCAUCAGUUUUGACCGCUGGAAAAAGGCCAUAGGAAUGUGGCACCCUCGGGUGUGUUAUAGCCUAUGGUCAUAUACAGCGGUUGGGACUGAGGACCGCAGCACGCCUUUAUGGUUGGGGUUCGCCCACAUUCGUGCUUAGGAUGCUGGCGUAAUGGCUUUAAACGACCCGUCUUGAAACACGGACCAAGGAGUCUAACAUGCCUGCGAGUGUUUGGGUGGAAAACCCGAGCGCGUAAUGAAAGUGAAAGUUGGGAUCCCUGUCGCGGGGAGCACCGACGCCCGGACCAGACCUUUUGUGACGGAUCCGCGGUAGAGCAUGUAUGUUGGGACCCGAAAGAUGGUGAACUAUGCCUGAAUAGGGUGAAGCCAGAGGAAACUCUGGUGGAGGCUCGUAGCGAUUCUGACGUGCAAAUCGAUCGUCAAAUUUGGGUAUAGGGGGCGAAAGACUAAUCGAACUCAUCUAGUAGCUGGUUUCCUGCCCGAAG
rnacentral:rRNA from 1 species